UACGUAGGGUGCAAGCGUUAAUCGGAAUUACUGGGCGUAAAGCGUGCGCAGGCGGUUAUGUAAGACAGAUGUGAAAUCCCCGGGCUUAACCUGGGAACUGCAUUGGUGACUGCAUUGCUGGAGUAUGGCAGAGGGGGGUGGAAUUCCACGUGUAGCAGUGAAAUGCGUAGAGAUGUGGAGGAACACCGAUGGCGAAGGCAGCCCCCUGGGCCAAUACUGACGCUCAUGCACGAAAGCGUGGGGAGCAAACAGG
rnacentral:rRNA from 1 species